AUGAACGCUAGCGACAGGCCUAACACAUGCAAGUCAGGGGCAGCACAAGGAGCAAUCUGAGGUGGCGACCGGCGCACGGGUGAGUAACACGUAUGCAACCUGCCUGUAAGCGGGGAAUAACCCGUUGAAAGACGGACUAAUACCGCAUAAUACUAAAUUACUGCAUGGUAAUUUAUUUAAACAUUUAUGGCUUACAGAUGGGCAUGCGCAUGAUUAGCUAGUUGGAGAGGUAACGGCUCCCCAAGGCAACGAUCAUUAGGGGUUCUGAGAGGAAGGUCCCCCACACUGGUACUGAGACACGGACCAGACUCCUACGGGAGGCAGCAGUGAGGAAUAUUGGUCAAUGGACGAGAGUCUGAACCAGCCAAGUCGCGUGCAGGAAGAAUGUUCCCUAUGGAUUGUAAACUGCUUUUGCAGGGGAAUAAAGUGCAUCACGUGUGAUGUUUUGUAUGUACUCUGCGAAUAAGGAUCGGCCAACUCCGUGCCAGCCGCCGC
rnacentral:rRNA from 1 species